rnacentral:tRNA from 1 species
GGGCCGGUGGUCUAGUGGUCUAUGACGCCACCCUUACAAGGUGGAAAUCGCAAGUUCAAAUCUUGCUCGGCCCA